UACGUAGGGUGCAAGCGUUAAUCGGAAUUACUGGGCGUAAAGCGCGCGUAGGCGGGCUUUCAAGUCGGUUGUGAAAUCCCUCAGCUCAACUGAGGAACUGCAUCCGAUACUGUUUGUCUUGAGGACGAGAGGGGAGAGUGGAACUUCUGGUGGAGCGGUGAAAUGCGUAGAUAUCAGGAAGAACACCCGUGGCGAAGGCGGUUCUCUGGGACGGUACUGACGCUGAGACGCGAAAGCGUGGGGAGCGAACAGG
rnacentral:rRNA from 1 species